AGAAAGCUCCAUUGUUUUGCUGAUUGAGCACCUGAUCAAUCAUAUGUCGUUUUCCUCCAAUCCUUUGGUUCCUCAUUUUCAAGGUUAGAUCUUUGUCCCUUUCCCUUUACCUUUCCUCUGUUGCUUGUGCUUUUCUUUCAUCUUCUAUGACUUUGAUCUCUCCUUGGUGCCCAUUUUAUCUUUACCUUUCUGUGUCUUCGCCUUUGUUUCAAAUUUGUGGUUUCCCUCGCACCUUUAGCAGUAUCAUGGAUUUUAUUACUGUCCCCAGAUUUUCCUUUCCGUUUUGCCUUUCUUUCUCCUAUUUGCAGAAGCAAAAAUGCUUGGUGGAGGCUGUGAGGAUGAAACUCAUAACCAUGAAAGGUUUUCUAGUAUUACAUGCAACACAUCAUGGCAAGAACUGACGGGAUAAGCUGGUAUUUGGUGAGGCACAGGGGUUCUCUUAAAGUUAAAUUCUCUAAGGUGAUAUUAUUUUGUUUGCGUUAGUUUAGUCCUAUCUUUUUAUUGUCAAUUUUUUAAUCAGAAAUAUAUUGUUUGCACUUUGGCUAUACGAAAUUCUUGUUGAACAGUGACUAAUUAAUUGUACUUGUAUGCUUAUCAUUGGAUGACGUAUUGAGGCUUCAGCCACUAAGAGAUGGAUCAACUUUAGAGGAAGGUGUUAUAACUAAGGAGUAGAGUACUGACUGACCCUUAGUCACUUUCUACUCUACAUCCUUAGUUACAACAGAAGGUUGAAUCAGGUUAGGUUGCUUUUUAGUAUUAAAUUCUUGGUACAGUAUUAAAAUCUGGUGCUUUACAAUAUUAUAUCAUAUAGCAGUUGGCCUUGACUCACAACUGGGAUUUCAAUCCCCCAUACAUAUUGACUGGCUCCACCCCUGCCCCCACGCUCCCAACCCAACCCACACCGCUGAAAAAGUAAAGAAGGAUGAAGACCAGUGUGAGACAGCUGAAGGGCGAGUACAGUGUAUAGAGGACUUGGUUCAAUGCAUAGGAUGUGCUAAAAUCACUAUUACAGAUUGUAGGUUUCCCUUCAGGUUUUUCAUAUAGUUGACAUGCUGAACUUGUGCAAUACUUUUACAAAUGCGAAGUUUCAUUCAUAUAUACCUGAUUUUGGCGGGGAUCUAAACAAAGGUUUCAUAAUAACUACAGAUUGCCCCUACCUAUUCAUGCUCUGUGUAAGGAAUUCGAAGUUCUAAUCUUAUCCUUUUGUUGCUCAAUUCAUUUAAUGGAUGGCUUGAGCUUCUAGAGAAUAGACUAGAAGACUUCUAUCUUUCAAAAAUUUUGUUGUGCAUAAUAUUGACAGGAUGAGGCAUCUGAAAAAGAGCUCAUCUAUUUUUCUUGUAUCAGAUGGAAAACUCUCUAUGCAAGUUGAGGCUGUUACUUGGGAAUAUAAUUUUUAAGCCUACAGAAUGGAAUUUAACAGUGCAAAAUCUGUCUAUUUCAUGCCCUCAAUACUACACUGAAGUGAUUUCGAAUUGUUAAAUUCCAAGUGCAAAAGGAUCACCAUUUACAAAAGAUGCAUCAAUUGAACUUUGUGGCAGGACUACUAGAAAUCUGCAGCUUAGUCUUGUUAGCGGACUUGACACUUAAGUCUAUGGUAGUCUUGUCUAUUGACUCAAUGGCAUACUGUAACAAAAAUUAUUUGGAUUGUUAUUAAUUGGAUUAUUUAGUAGUUAAAACACGCAAUGGAAAAUUAAAAAG